AACGAACGCUGGCGGCAUGCCUAACACAUGCAAGUCGAACGAGAUCUUCGGGUCUAGUGGCGCACGGGUGCGUAACGCGUGGGAAUCUGCCCUUUGGUUCGGAAUAACAGUUGGAAACGACUGCUAAUACCGGAUGAUGACGAAAGUCCAAAGAUUUAUCGCCAGAGGAUGAGCCCGCGUAGGAUUAGCUAGUUGGGGGGGUAAAGGCGCACCAAGGCGACGAUCCUUAGCUGGUCUGAGAGGAUGAUCAGCCACACUGGGACGGAGACACGGCCCAGACUCCUACGGGAGGCAGCAGUGGGGAAGAUUGGACAAUGGGCGAAAGCCUGAUCCAGCAAUGCCGCGUGAGUGAUGAAGGCCUUAGGGUUGUAAAGCUCUUUUACCCGGGAUGAUAAUGACAGUACCGGGAGAAUAAGCUCCGGCUAACUCCGUGCCAGCCGCCGCCGUAA
rnacentral:rRNA from 1 species